GGCUGCUGCAAGCCGGUCUGGCGACCGGCGGCGUCGAGACGCCCGUGGCGGUGGGAUAUGUUGUGUAUGGUGGAGCUGCUGCGGCGGCAGCAGCGGGCAUGUGGUGGUGGUGGAGGGCGGCUGCGGCGGGGAGCGGGAAGUUGGUCCUGGCCUUGGGCCCGCGCAGCAUCCGCGCUGCGGCGUCGUAGGCACGGGCGGCGUCCUCGGCGGAGUCGAAUGUGCCGAGCCAGACGCGCGCCUUCUUCGCCGGGUCCCGGAUCUCCGCUGCGUACCGGCCCCACGGCCUCUUCCGCACCCCGCGGAACCGCAACUCCACGUCACCGUCCGCCUCAGCCGCCGCCACGCCGCGGCGCCGCAUGCCGCCGGAUCAGCGGAGCGCGAGGGUGCGGGAACGAACGGGGAUCGGAGAAUUGGUAUUGGAAGCGAGUAUUUGGGAAUCCGUGAAGGAAGGAGAAGGGGAGGAGGGGAAGGUGGGAACGAGUUAAUUGGAAGGCUUGCUUGUUUGCGCUGCCACCGCCCACGACGCCCACCCCACCCCCACCCGCUCGCGGCUCGCCUCCCACCACCACCAUCCCUGCCCGCCUUGCCUUUUUC
rnacentral:misc_RNA from 1 species